AACGAACGCUGGCGGCAGGCCUAACACAUGCAAGUCGAACGCCCUAGCAAUAGGGAGUGGCAGACGGGUGAGUAACACGUGGGGAACCUUCCCUAUAGUACGGAAUAGCUCAGGGAAACUUGAAGUAAUACCGUAUACGCCCGAGAGGGGAAAGAUUUAUCGCUAUAGGAUGGGCCCGCGUCGGAUUAGCUAGUUGGUGAGGUAAUGGCUCACCAAGGCGACGAUCCGUAGCUGGUUGAGAGAACGACCAGCCACACUGGGACUGAGACACGGCCCAGACUCCUACGGGAGGCAGCAGUGGGGAAUAUUGGACAAUGGGCGCAAGCCUGAUCCAGCCAUGCCGCGUGAGUGAUGAAGGCCUUAGGGUUGUAAAG
rnacentral:rRNA from 1 species